rnacentral:tRNA from 1 species
ACUUUUGAAGGAUAACAGUCUUCCACUAGCCUUAGGAGCUAAGCUCCUUGGUGCAAGUCCAAGUAAAAGUA